UGGGGGAUAUUGCACAAUGGAGGGAACUCUGAUGCAGCGACGCCGCGUGAACGAAGAAGGCUUUCGAGUCGUAAAGUUCUUUUAUAUGGGAAGAUAAUGACGGUACCAUAAGAAAAAGCCCCGGCUAACUACGUGCCAGCAGCCGCGGUAAUACGUAGGGGGCUAGCGUUGUCCGGAAUCACUGGGCGUAAAGGGUUCGCAGGCGGAAAUGCAAGUCAGGUGUAAAAGGCAGUAGCUUAACUACUGUAAGCAUUUGAAACUGCAUAUCUUGAGAAGAGUAGAGGUAAGUGGAAUUUUUAGUGUAGCGGUGAAAUGCGUAGAUAUUAAAAAGAAUACCGGUGGCGAAGGCGACUUACUGGGCUCAUUCUGACGCUGAGGAACGAAAGCGUGGGUAGCAAACAGG
rnacentral:rRNA from 1 species